UUAGGAAUUUUGGGCAAUGGGCGAAAGCCUGACCCAGCAACGCCGCGUGGGUGAUGAAGGCCCUCGGGUCGUAAAGCCCUUUUCCCAGGGAAGAUAGUGACGGUACCUGGGGAAUCAGCCCCGGCUAACUACGUGCCAGCAGCCGCGGUAAUACGUAGGGGGCAAGCGUUGUCCGGAUUUAUUGGGCGUAAAGCGCUCGCAGGUGGUUCGUUGCGUCGUGCGUGAAAGACCCCGGCUCAACUGGGGAGGGUCGUGCGAUACGGGCGAACUGGAGGCCAGUAGGGGGAUGCGGAAUUCCGGGUGUAGUGGUGGAAUGCGUAGAGAUCCGGAGGAACACCAGCGGCGAAGGCGGCAUCCUGGACUGGUCCUGACACUCAGGAGCGAAAGCGUGGGGAGCGAUCC
rnacentral:rRNA from 1 species